rnacentral:lncRNA from 1 species
UAAAACCUCAAACACCUGCUCCAGUGGUAACUCCCGUAUCUUCACCUCCGGCUUCUUCUCCGACGAAACAGACUGUUCCUGCUCCUGUUCAGACUCCAUUGGCUACGCCGCCACCUGCCGUCGCUCCUGUGAGCUCUCCACCUGCUGCAGUUCCAGUGAGCUCUCCACCAGCUAAAUCUCCUUCAGCACCUGCACCAGUUACUCCACCAACAAGCUCUCCUACGGAAAAUGCUCCUCCAGCUCCAGUGGCUGCACCAACCGCCGAGGUUCCUGCGCCGACUCCCAGCAAGAAGAAGUCGAAGAAGCACAAUGCUGCACCAGCUCCUGCUCCAGAGUUGUCAAGCCCACCUGCUCCACCAACUGAGGCACCUGGACCAAGCGCUGAAGCCAACUCAC